UACGGAGGGUGCAAGCGUUAUCCGGAUUCACUGGGUUUAAAGGGUGCGUAGGAGGGCAGGUAAGUCAGUGGUGAAAUCUUCGAGCUUAACUCGGAAACUGCCGUUGAUACUAUCUGUCUUGACUCCCGUGGAGAUGAGCGGAAUAUGUCAUGUAGCGGUGAAAUGCUUAGAUAUGACAUAGAACACCAAUUGCGAAGGCAGCUCGUUACACGAAGAUUGACUCUGAGGCACGAAAGCGUGGGGAUCAAACAGG
rnacentral:rRNA from 1 species